CUCUCUUCGGCGGUAGGUAUACUAAAAUUGGAACGAUACAGAAAAGAUUAGCAUAACCCCUGCGCAAAUACGACGCGAAAAUUCGUGAAGUGAUCCAUAUUUUU